rnacentral:rRNA from 1 species
GCAUAUCAAUAAGCGGAGGAAAAGAAACCAACAGGGAUUGCCUCAGUAACGGCGAGUGAAGCGGCAAAAGCUCAAAUUUGAAAUCUGGUACCUUUGGUGCCCGAGUUGUAAUUUGAAGAUAGUUUUCUGGUGCUGGCCCUUGUCUAUGUUCCUUGGAACAGGACGUCACAGAGGGUGAGAAUCCCGUCUGGCGGGGUGUCCAGUGCUUUGUAGAUUUCUAUCGACGAGUCGAGUUGUUUGGGAAUGCAGCUCUAAGUGGGUGGUAAAUUCCAUCUAAAGCUAAAUAUUGGCGAGAGACCGAUAGCGAACAAGUACAGUGAUGGAAAGAUGAAAAGAACUUUGAAAAGAGAGUGAAAAAGUACGUGAAAUUGUUGAAAGGGAAGGGUAUUAGAUCAGACUUGGUGUUUUGUGAUUAUCUUCCCUUCUUGGGUUGUGCACUCGCAUUUCACUGGGCCAGCAUCGGUUCGGGUGGUAAGAUAAUGACAUUGGAACGUGGCACUACCUUCGGGUGGUGUGUUAUAGCCCUUGUUGAUGUUGCCUACCUGGACCGAGGACUGCGGCUUUUGCCUAGGAUGCUGGCGUAAUGAUCUAACACCGCCCGUCUUGAAACACGGACC